UGACCCGUCUUGAAACACGGACCAAGGAGUCUAGCGUGUGCGCGAGUCAUUGGGAUAACACUAAACCUAAAGGCGUAAUGAAAGUAAAAGUUCGUCUAGCGCGAACAGAGGGAAGACGGACCGUCAACAGACGGACCUGCACUCCCGGGGCGUCUCAUUCUCAUUGCGAGAGGAGGCGCACCAAGAGCGUACACGCUGGGACCCGAAAGAUGGUGAACUAUGCCUGGUCAGGACGAAGUCAGGGGAAACCCUGAUGGAGGUCCGUAGCGAUUCUGACGUGCAAAUCGAUCGUCGGAACUGGGUAU
rnacentral:rRNA from 1 species